GUCAAUAGGUGACUGACAGUUUCCUUUCUCGUGUUUCAGGAGCUGUUGGCCAGAUGCUGCUGGAUGCUGACAGGGGAAAGCUGAUUCGGAGACAAGCAGUCAGAAAUGUUUGGACACGUCGUCAUUUUGGAUCUGGCAUCUGAGUGAGUGUCACUGCUUCAUGAGGCUUUGAAUUUGAGCCCAGGCUGGUAACCCGUUGUU
rnacentral:lncRNA from 1 species